rnacentral:sRNA from 1 species
GGGCAGGGAAGCUCCAGGCAAACAGCCCAGCAAACAGCAGCACUCAGCUAAAAGGAAGACUCACAGAAGACAGUUGAAGAAGGAAAGUGGCGAUGGACCUCAUCCCAAAUUUGGCGGUGGAAACCUGGCUUCUCCUGGCUGUCAGCCUGGUGCUCCUCUAUCUGAUGAGAGUCCCCAAAUCAGCGAAGAGUCCACUUACUAAACAGACAUAAGGAAAUGAAGUGUCCUGGAAGAAUUCCUGCCUGAACCUCUCAGGAGCAUUUGAGGACAUUUAUCAAGUAUUCACUCCAGGCUUGGGACUAUGAAGACUUCAGCUGCUUUCAGCUAAUCAUUGAGACUUUUCACGGGUCUCAGAAUAGAGUCAGGAAAGGACCUGAUGAGUGAAUGCAAUUACUGAUGUUGGAGUUGCUGUUAUUAUUUAUCGUGUACAUAUUACCUCCCUCUCUUGACCAUUCCAGUUCCUGAGUAACUCACCAGCCCUCUGAUCUAUAAAGUCACAAUCCCUGUGACCUGAUUUCUGUUUAACUUCGUAGAUAUGGGACCCGUACACAUGGACUUUUUAAGAGACUGGGAAUUCCAGGGCCCACACCUCUGCCUUUGUUGGGAAAUGUUUUGUCCUAUCGUCAGGGUCUCUGGAAAUUUGACACAGAGUGCUAUAAAAAGUAUGGGAAAAUGUGGGGUAUCUCUUCCCUGUUUGGACCACAUUGCCCUUCAUCACAUGAAGACUUGGGUGGCUCCUGUGUCAGACUCUUGCUGUGUGUCACACCCUAAUGAACUAGAACCUAAGGUUGCUGUGUGUCGUACAACUAGGGAAUGUAUGAUGGUCAACUCCCUGUGCUGGCCAUCACAGAUCCCGACAUGAUCAGAACAGUGCUAGUGAAAGAAUGUUAUUCUGUCUUCACAAAUCGAAGGUCUUUAGGCCCAGUGGGAUUUAUGAAAAGUGCCAUCUCUUUAGCUGAGGAUGAAGAAUGGAAGAGAAUACGGUCAUUGCUGUCUCCAACCUUCACCAGCGGAAAACUCAAGGAGAUGUUCCCCAUCAUUGCCCAGUAUGGAGAUGUAUUGGUGAGAAACUUGAGGCGGGAAGCAGAGAAAGGCAAGCCUGUCACCUUGAAAGACAUCUUUGGGGCCUACAGCAUGGAUGUGAUUACUGGCACAUCAUUUGGAGUGAACAUCGACUCUCUCAACAAUCCACAAGACCCCUUUGUGGAGAGCACUAAGAAGUUCCUAAAAUUUGGUUUCUUAGAUCCAUUAUUUCUCUCAAUAAUACUCUUUCCAUUCCUUACCCCAGUUUUUGAAGCAUUAAAUGUCUCUCUGUUUCCAAAAGAUACCAUAAAUUUUUUAAGUAAAUCUGUAAACAGAAUGAAGAAAAGUCGCCUCAACGACAAACAAAAGCACCGACUAGAUUUCCUUCAGCUGAUGAUUGACUCCCAGAAUUCGAAAGAAACUGAGUCCCACAAAGCUCUGUCUGAUCUGGAGCUCGCAGCCCAGUCAAUAAUCUUCAUUUUUGCUGGCUAUGAAACCACCAGCAGUGUUCUUUCCUUCACUUUAUAUGAACUGGCCACUCACCCUGAUGUCCAGCAGAAACUGCAAAAGGAGAUUGAUGCAGUUUUGCCCAAUAAGGCACCACCUACCUAUGAUGCCGUGGUACAGAUGGAGUACCUUGACAUGGUGGUGAAUGAAACACUCAGAUUAUUCCCAGUUGCUAUUAGACUUGAGAGGACCUGCAAGAAAGAUGUUGAAAUCAAUGGGGUAUUCAUUCCCAAAGGGUCAAUGGUGGUGAUUCCAACUUAUGCUCUUCACCAUGACCCAAAGUACUGGACAGAGCCUGAGGAGUUCCGCCCUGAAAGGUUCAGUAAGAAGAAGGACAGCAUAGAUCCUUACAUAUACACACCCUUUGGAACUGGACCCAGAAACUGCAUUGGCAUGAGGUUUGCUCUCAUGAACAUGAAACUUGCUCUAAUCAGAGUCCUUCAGAACUUCUCCUUCAAACCUUGUAAAGAAACACAGAUCCCCUUGAAAUUAGACACGCAAGGACUUCUUCAACCAGAAAAACCCAUUGUUCUAAAGGUGGAUUCAAGAGAUGAGUGGAGAAUGAGUUAUUCUAAGGACUUCUACUUUGGUCUUCAAGAAAGCUGUGCCCCAGAACACCAGAGAUUUCAACUUAGUCAAUAAAACCUUGAAAUAAAGAUGGGCUUAAUCUAA